GGUCACACCACCCUGAAGGUGCCCGGUCUCUUCUGAUCUCAGAAGCUAAGCCUGGUUAGUACUUGGAUGGGAGGCCACCUGAGAAUACCAGGUGUGGUAGCCU
rnacentral:rRNA from 1 species